CAGCCCUGGUCCAUCAGGAGACCAGGGGCUCAGGGAGGCCCGGGGAGGGAGAGGACCUGCUCAGGCUCCAGGGCCAACCUCUCACAGGGAGCUCUCUUCCAGGGGCUGAGUCUGGGCCCCAGGACCCGAGGGCAGGCAGGAGCCUACAGCAAACCCAGCCUCUCAGCCCUGCCCAGCCCUGCAGUGACCUCAGGAGGGACCGUGACCCUCCAGUGUGGCUCAUGGCUAAGAUUUGGCAAGUUCCUUCUGACUCAGGAAGGAGAAGAUGGGCUCUCCUGGACCCUGGACUCACAGCGAGGCCCCAGUGGGCAGUUCCAGGCCCUGUUCCCUGUGGGCCCUGUGACCGCUGGCCACAGGUGGAUGUUCAGAUGCUACGGCUAUGAGCAGGAACAAUCCCCAGGUGUGGUCGGAGCCCAGUGACACCCUGGAGCUCCUGGUCUCAGGUGAGGGAAGCCCCAGGCUUGUUUGAUUCAAUUUUUGGCCACGAAGCAGUUUGGGGGGAGCCUUUUCUUCAGGACAGCCACAGGUGAGAGAGAGAGGACGAGGGACACAGAGCUCCUGACUCACAGUCCCCAGGUGUCCUAGUUACUUUUUCUCAUUGCUGAGAUGAAAUACCCAACUCACAAAGUUAAGGGAGGAAAGGUUUAGUUAGCUCUGUUUGUAGAGGUUUCAGUCCAUAAUCAGCUGGCUCCAUGGCAAGAGGGCAUCACAGAGGAGAAACAGUUCAUGGUGGGCAGUGGGCAGCAAAGUGACCAAGACACCUGCAAGUGACAACAGCAGUGUCUUUCUGCCCGUUUGAUAGCUCUACCUAAGCUACCUGGCUUAGGGUGGUACCAAACCAAUCAGUGGACUACUUCAUUAAUCACAUGCUCUCAAUCCUAGCGUCACACACUAGAUCCAGCCACCUCUGAAGAAGCCCCACCUAUGACUGCGUGAGGCUUUGGGGGGACAGCUAGACACAAGCAGAACACCAGGUGUGAGAGACAGGGGAGACCCCCAGGGCAGGACGGGGGGGCAGGGCUGUGGCAGGAAGCAGCCCCUCAGCCCAGGUCCUCCUCCCCCAGGGCUGUCCAGGAAGCCCAUGGGGGUCAUCUGGAGGGGACUCAGCCCUAGAAGGGCAGAAAGCCAAUGGGGUCCUCCCAAGCAUGGUCAUUUUCAUUGCCAUCAUUGGAAUCCUGAAGGUUCCAGGUGGGGAGUGGGAGAGUCAUGUUGAGGCCACAGGGCAGAGGAGAGUAAGCAGAGACAAGGUCCCCAGGGACCGUGUCCUCUUGUGCCCAUUCCCAGGAUUCUCUGGGGGCCCCAUCCCCCCACUCUCAGGACCCAGCCCUGCAGCAGGUGAGUCCAGGGCCCCUGUCCCGAGUGUCCCAUGUCUAGGCUGCCUGGGGACUCAGACCAUGUCAACCCUGGUUCCAGCCUCAGCUCCACUUGUGUCCAGGGGACUGGGGAUCCGGCAGAGAUGUGGGGAACCCAGGUCCCCAGGGCUGAGAGUCAGGGUUGCAUGAGGGAUGGGUGAAGGCAGAGGGAGAUGUUGGGGUCCAGCCUGGGGGAGGAGCAGCAGCUGAAAUGGGGAGCAGGGAGCCCAGCCCCUCACCUCCCCAGCCCACCCAGGAGGGCCUGAGGAUCAGCCACGCAGCCCCCAAAGUCAGGAAAACAGGCUGGCUACGGUGAGUGAGGGGCUCUGCUGGGGGAAGGGGUCCGGUGGCAGGGGCUGAGCUGUGAGGGCCGCUGCAGCCUCCUGGACAUGCUGCCUUGGGCCAGGCCCGCCAGUGUGGACCUCAGUUUCUCCAGGUGCAAGGGGGGGGCCUGGCCCUGACCUUCAAGUUCCUCCCAGUGCUGACCUUGCUGUGACCUUUUGGAAGGGAGGCCUCCCAGGGAAGCCUCCAGGACCCCACCCUGCACAGUCUGUAGGGAGCAGGAAAAAGGACGACACCAGAGACCCCUGCAGCCGGUCCUGGCCUCCCUGUGAGCCACUAUAACACAAAGCUAAUAUGAAUAAAGAAGAAAGAAGACAUAGAGAGAGAGCUGGGUCUUGGGGCUGAUCGGGGGGCUGCUUUGGGCAGCAAAGACAAAGGCCCCCAAGGACAGCCAGGAUUUACUGGUUACAAGCAUGGGAAGAAAGUGGAGCAGGGUAUGUUUUGAAGACAUCUAAUGAUAUAAGGCCAAACAUCUGGCAUGAUGGCACCAAGCAGGGCUGUAAGGGAGGAGACACUGCUAUCUUGCUUGGAUAGCACAAACUGAUAUUGGGACCAGGUGCAAUUAGCAAGCAACCCAUCAGGUCAGUGAGAAGCCAUAAUUCAGGGGAAAAGGAUUUUAAUUGGGGUCACACUGACCUCAGUUGCCAUAACUGAGCAGAGUCCUGCCACUUCACAGACCAGGACUUAGGCCUCUAUGGCAGCCAUUUGGGGAGGGGCUAUACUCACUCAGUCUGCUAUCUGACAUGCCCAUUUGAGUCACAUAGAGCUUCAGUCUGACUCCUGAUAUAAACAAUGCAGCUGACUGAUGGAAAGCAAGAAGCAGGUGCCACUCACCCCAGUAGUGCUGGGUGGGGUCAUCUGCUACAGUGGUCCUGUGCCCUCUGUGCAGUGCCAGUGACAUUGUGCGGGGAGGGGCGCGGGGCCACAGCAGGCAUCAGGCUCCUUCCCCCUCCAGCUCAGCUCUGGGGAGAACAGGGGUGGAAGGCAGACUCCCGGGUUCAGUCCCCAGCUCUGCCACUUCCUGCUGGAUGACCUAGAGCAGCUGAUUCCCCUCUCUGAGCCUGUUUCCUCAUCUGUAAAAGCCUGGGUGAGGGUGGCAAGGACACACUGCAGGACUGAGUUUGAGCUGAGGAAUGCAAGGACCCAGCAUGUGCCUGGCACAUAGUAAACCUCACUGAGUGGUGUUGCGCCUCACUCACAAAUUCAUGGCUACAUUUCCCUCCCCGACUCCGUCACUCUGCCCAGGACUGGGAAGGCACCUGAAGGUUCUGAUCGGGGCCUCGGUGGCCUCCGUCCUGCUGCUGCUGCUGCUCCUCCUCCUCCUCGUCCUCCGACACUGGCGUCAGGGCGAAAGCAGGAAGAAGCGCGGGUGAGUGGGGACAGGUGAGCUGGGCCUCGGGGGUUGUGGGUCCCCCGUGGUCCAAGCCAGGCUGGGCUCAGGGCACGGGCUAAAACCCAGUCUGAGGGGGCCAGAAGAGCCUAGGAUCCCCUCAGAGCCCAGCUCGGAGUCCAGAGCAGAGCACCCCGGCCCGGCCUCAUCCCCACAGGAGUCUCGGGUGUGCGCUGAGCUUCCCCUCCUCACCCGCACUCACGCCCUGGUCAGUGAGGCCCAAGGCUUCCUUCCCCCCCACGGGGCCUGGCCGUGGUGGUUCCGAGCCUCCUGGUGAGACUCUGUCCAUCCCCAGCCCAGAGAGAGAGGCUGACUUCCCACGGCCUGUGGGGCCACGGGCCCAGUGCCCCAGCACGGAGGCCUGCAGAACAGCUCCGGCCCAGCCGCCACCACCCAGGAAGAAAACCUCUGUGAGAGGGAGAGGGGCAGGGUGGGGGGUACCCCGAGCUCUCAGCAUCCCAGGGGCUGGGAGUCAGACUGAGCCUCCACACAGCCUGGGGACCUCAGCCCACGGCUCCCUGGAUCUGUGUCCCCAGCUGGGCCGGGGCUUGGGGCCUGCGGGGCCGAGAGACCCCAGGGACUCUGGGCAGGAGGGGGACCCCUUGUUCUGUCCCUGCAGAUGCUGCCGUGAGCGACUCACCGCCUG
rnacentral:lncRNA from 1 species